rnacentral:rRNA from 1 species
CAGCAGCCGCGGUAAAACGAAGGGUGCAAGCGUUAAUCGGAAUUACUGGGCGUAAAGCGCGCGUAGGUGGUUCAUUAAGUUGGAUGUGAAAGCCCUGGGCUCAACCUGGGAACUGCAUCCAAAACUGGUGAGCUAGAGUACGGUAGAGGGUAGUGGAAUUUCCUGUGUAGCGGUGAAAUGCGUAGAUAUAGGAAGGAACACCAGUGGCGAAGGCGACUACCUGGACUGAUACUGACACUGAGGUGCGAAAGCGUGGGGAGCAAACAGGAUUAGAUACCCGGGUAGUCCCUGUCUCUUAUAC